AAGCUCAAAAAUCAUACCACAUGUUAGGAUUAAGCAUGCCAAAUUUCAGAUCAAUUGGAUUAACACAAAGCAUUUCACAAGGCAUUUAUCAUGGCAUAUCAAUUUGGCAUCAUGUUCAAACAAAAAUCACACAUUAAAAAUCCAGCAAUCAACAAAUCCUGAAAUGAAUGCUAUAAAAAACUAGAAAUCAAAACAAGAAUGUGAAAAAAAAUCAGGAUCAAUUUGAAGCAUUUUACUAUUUUUAAUGAUUUUUU
rnacentral:lncRNA from 1 species